rnacentral:rRNA from 1 species
UUCCGGUUGAUCCUGCCGGACCUGACUGCUAUCGGAUUGAUACUAAGCCAUGCGAGUUUUUGUAGUAAUACAAGGCAGACGGCUCAGUAACACGUAGUCAAUCUAACCUAUGGACGAGGAUAACCUCGGGAAACUGAGAAUAAUACUCGAUAGAUCAUUAUGCCUGGAACGGUUUAUGGUUCAAAUGAAUUUCGCCAUAGGGUGGGACUGCGGUCUAUCAGCUUGUUGGUGAGGUAAUGGCCCACCAAGGCUAUAACAGAUACGGGCUCUGAGAGGAGAAGCCCGGAGAUGGGUACUGAGACACGGACCCAGGCCCUAUGGGGCGCAGCAGGCGAGAAAACUUUGCAAUGUGCGAAAGCACGACAAGGUUAAUCCGAGUGAUUCCUGCUAAAGGAAUCUUUUGUUAGUCAUAACACCACUGAUGAAUAAGGGGUGGGCAAGUUCUGGUGUCAGCCGCCGCGGUAAAACCAGCACCUCAAGUGGUCAGGAGGAUUAUUGGGCCUAAAGCAUCCGUAGCCGGCUUUGUUAGUUUUCGGUUAAAUCUAUAUGCUCAACAUAUAGGCUGCCGGGAAUACUGCAAAGCUAGGGAGUGGGAGAGGUAGACGGUACUCCGUAGGAAGGGGUAAAAUCCUUUGAUCUAUGGAUGACCACCUGUGGCGAAGGCGGUCUACCAGAACACGUCCGACGGUGAGGGAUGAAAGCUGGGGGAGCAAACCGGAUUAGAUACCCGGGUAGUCCCAGCUGUAAACUAUGCAAACUCAGUGAUGCAUUGGCUUGUGGCCAGUGCAGUGCCGCAGAGAAGUCGUUAAGUUUGCCGCCUGGGAAGUACGUACGCAAGUAUGAAACUUAAAGGAAUUGGCGGGGGAGCACCACAAGGGGUGAAGCCUGCGGUUCAAUUGGAGUCAACGCCGGGA